UAACGCGUGGGCAACCUGCCCCAUACAGGGGGAUAACAGCCGGAAACGGCUGCUAAAACCGCAUAAGCGCACAAGGGCCGCAUGGCCUGGUGUGAAAAACUCCGGUGGUAUGGGAUGGGCCCGCGUCUGAUUAGCUAGUUGGCGGGGGAGAGGCCCACCAAGGCGACGAUCAGUAGCCGACCUGAGAGGGUGGCCGGCCACAUUGGGACUGAGACACGGCCCAAACUCCUACGGGAGGCAGCAGUGGGGAAUAUUGCACAAUGGGGGAAACCCUGAUGCAGCGACGCCGCGUGAGCGAAGAAGUAUUUCGGUAUGUAAAGCUCUAUCAGCAGGGAAGAAAAAUGACGGUACCUGAGUAAGAAGCACCGGCUAAAUACGUGCCAGCAGCCGCGGUAAUACGUAUGGUGCAAGCGUUAUCCGGAUUUACUGGGUGUAAAGGGAGCGCAGGCGGUGCGGCAAGUCUGAUGUGAAAGCCCGGGGCUCAACCCCGGGACUGCAUUGGAAACUACCGAACUAGAGUGUCGGAGAGGUAAGUGGAAUUCCUAGUGUAGCGGUGAAAUGCGUAGAUAUUAGGAGGAACACCAGUGGCGAAGGCGGCUUACUGGACGAUAACUGACGCUGAGGCUCGAAAGCGUGGGGAGCAAACAGGAUUAGAUACCCUGGUAGU
rnacentral:rRNA from 1 species